rnacentral:rRNA from 1 species
AUUGAACGCUGGCGGCAUGCCUUACACAUGCAAGUCGAACGGUAACAGGUCUUCGGAUGCUGACGAGUGGCGAACGGGUGAGUAAUACAUCGGAACGUGCCCGAUCGUGGGGGAUAACGGAGCGAAAGCUUUGCUAAUACCGCAUACGAUCUACGGAUGAAAGCAGGGGACCGCAAGGCCUUGCGCGGACGGAGCGGCCGAUGGCAGAUUAGGUAGUUGGUGGGAUAAAAGCUUACCAAGCCGACGAUCUGUAGCUGGUCUGAGAGGACGACCAGCCACACUGGGACUGAGACACGGCCCAGACUCCUACGGGAGGCAGCAGUGGGGAAUUUUGGACAAUGGGCGCAAGCCUGAUCCAGCCAUGCCGCGUGCAGGAUGAAGGCCUUCGGGUUGUAAACUGCUUUGUACGGACGAAAGACUCUUCUAAUAAAGAGGUCCAUGACGGUACCGUAAGAAUAAGCACCGGCUAACUACGUGCCAGCCGCCGCGGUAAACCA